AUUCGAUACUGGGAAGCUAGAGUAUGGGAGAGGAUGGUAGAAUUCCAGGUGUAGCGGUGAAAUGCGUAGAGAUCUGGAGGAAUACCGAUGGCGAAGGCAGCCAUCUGGCCUAAUACUGACGCUGAGGUACGAAAGCAUGGGGAGCAAACAGGAUUAGAUACCCUGGUAGUCCAUGCCGUAAACGAUGUCUACUAGCCGUUGGGGCCUUUGAGGCUUUAGUGGCGCAGCUAACGCGAUAAGUAGACCGCCUGGGGAGUACGGUCGCAAGACUAAAACUCAAAUGAAUUGACGGGGGCCCGCACAAGCGGUGGAGCAUGUGGUUUAAUUCGAUGCAACGCGAAGAACCUUACCUGGUCUUGACAUAGUAAGAACUUUCCAGAGAUGGAUUGGUGCCUUCGGGAACUUACAUACAGGUGCUGCAUGGCUGUCGUCAGCUCGUGUCGUGAGAUGUUGGGUUAAGUCCCGCAACGAGCGCAACCCUUUUCCUUAUUUGCCAGCGGGUUAAGCCGGGAACUUUAAGGAUACUGCCAGUGACAAACUGGAGGAAGGC
rnacentral:rRNA from 1 species